AACUUUUUGAAUCCGUGCUGAGAUUUCGUCAGGCACAAACCCAUUGGUGUUAAUCAGACUUCCAAGAUAAGUGAAGUU
rnacentral:pre_miRNA from 1 species